AUUGAACGCUGGCGGAAUACUUUACACAUGCAAGUCGAACGGCAGCAUAGGUGCUUGCACCUGAUGGCGAGUGGCGAACGGGGGAGUCAUACAUCGGAACGUGCCCAGUCGUGGGGGAUAACGUAGCGAAAGUUACGCUAAUACCGCAUACGAUCUAAGGAUGAACGCGGGGGACCGUAAGGCCUUGCGCGAUUGGAGCGGCCGGUGUGAGAGUAGGGGGUUGGUGAGGUAAAGGCUCGCCAAGCCGACGAUCUGUAGCUGGUCUGAGAGGACGACCAGCGACACUGGGACUGAGACACGGCCCAGACUCCUACGGGAGGCAGCAGUGGGGAAUUUUGGACAAUGGACGCAAGUCUGAUCCAGCCAUUCCGCGUGCAGGACGAAGGCCUUCGGGUUGUAAACUGCUUUUGUACGGACCGAAAAAGCUCUUACUAAUACUAGGAGUCCAUGACGGUACCGUAAGAAUAAGCACCGGCUAACUACGUGCCAGCAGCCGCAGUAA
rnacentral:rRNA from 1 species